GAUUGGCCCCCGCCUGCUCCUGCGGUCCUACGGCCCGGCGAGUCGUGUGGACCUGUCUCUAACAAGUUCUUGCACUGUCUCAGGGACUUAAGGCCUGAAGUGGGCUCUGUCCUCUCAGGCCGCGAGUUUCCUGCUCUGCAGGCUCUUCUAGCAGAGUUUAUCCACGCAAACUUUUCGUAGCCGUUGAAAAGGAGACGAAGGCACAGUAAAAGGAAGUGAUUGUCGAAGGACACACCAGCUCUGAGAGGAAGAGAAAAUGUAGACAUGCAAAAGAGAUACCAGGAGUUUAUGUGCCUGGAGGACAUGUGAGGACAUAGCAUGAAGGCAGCCAUCUGCAAGCAAAGGAGAGAGGCCUCGGAAGAAAUCAAAUCUGCUGAUACCCAGAUCUUGGACUUCCAACCUCCAAAACUG